rnacentral:piRNA from 1 species
UCCUGUAUUAUGGAACAGGCUUCCUCAUA